rnacentral:lncRNA from 1 species
UGAUAUCUAAUCUGCUUUGGCUUCUUUUUUUUUAAACGUCUGAACUCAAUUAAAAGUAAAGACCAUGGUUAAAAAAAAAAGUAUAGGAAUAGAAAUAAGAAACAAAAACAAAGCACAAAAACCAACAAUAUGAUCUUAAGAGAAAGAUUUUAGCAAAUGUUGGAGAUGGCUUCUUCUUGAAUCCUAUUGUGGAGCCAAGCAGGGCCUUCAAGGGCGAGGUAAGAGUGGAACCUCCCAGGCUGAGUUACACUUAGUGCAAUCUCUUGCAAUGAAAUUUGUAGAAGCUGAUUCAUGUUCAAAUACAACCGAGCUAAAACCAGAGCGCAAGUCAUUGAUCUUGGCAAGGAGAUGACGAUAUCUUGGCCAUGUUUGAGUAUCAGAGACAGCUUGAAAGGCAUCAUGGAAGUCAAUCCCCAAAACAACAUCACGAAAUCCCAUAUCAUGAAUGAUACAUCGAAG